rnacentral:rRNA from 1 species
GAACGACUCUCGGCAACGGAUAUCUCGGCUCUUGCGUCGAUGAAGAACGUAGCGAAAUGCGAUACUUGGUGUGAAUUGCAGAAUCCCGUGAACCAUCGAGUCUUUGAACGCAAGUUGCGCCCGAAGCCAUUAGGCCGAGGGCACGCCUGCCUGGGUGUCACAC